CCUGGCCUCUCUUUCCACUUUGGAUCUAUCUAUAGCUGCUUUUUUACAAACCUAACAAGAUUGGAGAACCAGUUGUCUUUCUAGUGAUUAGAAGUGGUGACUGUGGUGUGUUACAUUGCAUGCACUGGCUUAUCGGACUGGAUACGUGAAUCUUCACAAUUCCAAGUGGGACAGAAAAGUCUGCUUCUCCUGCUGGAGACAAUGCUAAGGCUAAUCACCUUUAUGCCUGGGAAAGCCCGCACUCAUUGAUUUAUGAAGGACAGCUUUGCUUUGCUCAGAAUGGCAUUCUUAGUUGGCUGUGUGUUUAAAAUCUGAGCUUCGAAUGCGUCAUUUCACAACAUCCUGACUCACCAGCUUUCUGCCGAGAAGUCUGCUAAGCAUCUGCCCACAUUCUCAGAGAUAUGCCAUUCACAGUAUGCUGAACCUUUCUGCUCAAUCAUUAAUCAAGAUAAUGUCCUGCAAACAUAGCCACAGGCCAAUCAGAGAUGAGGAUUCACUCAACCACUUCUCCAGUGUAAUGUGUGCUGCCAUGCUCCCCACCAUGAUGACAAUGGGCUUACUCCGAAACUCAAAAUACGAGUCCUCCCAAAGAAAGGAGUCAGAUUGUCUCCGUGACAUGAGCACAGAGGUGGAGUGUGUCCAGGGUUUGUUUAGUUUGGAAUUUUAAAGCUCCAUCAAGAAUGCAGGAGGCCUUUUUCUUCUCACUUAUGUUGACAGACUGUUGAUGGCCUUUCACACUAACUUGGUUGGAAGAAGAAGAAGAUGAAGAAAAAAGAAACUUCAGAUGAUCCUAUUUGUGUAAGAAAAAAAAAAAAAAAGUCUUCCAAACAACUCCCUUGUCGCCAGCAUCAACAGCAGCUGAACACGGGCUGAGUUGUUGCACAGUGAGAAUUAUUCCUUUCAUUUCAAAGGCAUCAGAUGUUUGGGGCAAGCAAAAGUCCUGGCUGGUUAAACACGAUCAAAAAUAAACUAGUAUCACAUUUGCUUA